UACGGAGGGUGCAAGCGUUAUCCGGAUUUACUGGGUUUAAAGGGUGUGUAGGCGGGCUAUUAAGUCAGUGGUGAAAUCUCCGGGCUCAACCCGGAAACUGCCAUUGAUACUAUUAGUCUUGAAUUUUUGUUGAGGUAGGCGGAAUAAGUCAUGUAGCGGUGAAAUGCAUAGAUAUGACUUAGAACACCAAUUGCGAAGGCAGCUUACUAAGCAAAUAUUGACGCUGAGGCACGAAAAGCGUGGGGGAUCAAACAGG
rnacentral:rRNA from 1 species